UGCAAGUCGAACGAAGUAGCAAUACUUAGUGGCAGACGGGUGAGUAACAUGUAGGUAUCUUCCCUUUGGUGAGGAAUAACACGAGGAAACUUGUGCUAAUACCUCAUAAGUCUUUACGGAGAAAGCUUUAUGCGCCAAAGGAUGAGCCUGCACUUGAUUAGUUUGUUGGUGGGGUAAUGGCCUACCAAGACUUUGAUCUAUAGCUGAUCUGAGAGGAUGAUCAGCCACAUUGGGACUGAGACACGGCCCAAACUCCUACGGGAGGCAGCAGUAGGGAAUAUUGCACAAUGGAGGAAACUCUGAUGCAGCGAUGCCGCGUGAGUGAAGAAGGCCUUUGGGUUGUAAAGCUCUUUCGUCGGGGAAGAAAAUGACUGUACCCGAAUAAGAAGGUCCGG
rnacentral:rRNA from 1 species